GGUAAUGCGCACGCGUGUGCGUGUGGGCCAGCACGUCCGGGUGGUCAGGACGCGCGCUUGUGCGCAUGUCCCCGCGCAGGGUCGGGCGCUGGGGUGUGGAGACUGAACCUUGCAGACACCCGGGUCCGCACGUCUGGGAUGGACGUGGUGAGUGCACGUGCGCACGCGCUGCGUAGGGGCGGCUGCGCUCAUGCGCACAUCGGGAGUGGUGCUUGGAGAGGCCACCUACUCACCGCGCCCCCAAGAGGCCGGGGGUUUGUCCCUGGUGUUGGCCCUACCCUGCGCGAUCCAGUCUUGUCGUUUCGGGGCUUCAUUACCAGAGCCCCGUGAAUCCUUUGCUAGAUGCUUAAAAACAUUUUCCCCAUUGUACAUAGCUGUUUCCACGAGAAUAAAAAGCUUUACAUUUAUUUGAGGCCUGCUUGGGCCUAUCCGCAGCUCCACCGUAGUGCUAAUCCCCUCCCAGUCCUGGAACAGCCCAGAUGAUGUAUUUAAUAGUAUUCUUUUAGCCCAACGCGAGAAUGUUUUCGUCUGGUUGUUUUUGUUUUUCGUUUUUAGAGACAGUCUCGCUAUAUUACCCAGGCUGGAGUGCAGUGUCAAGAUCUCGACUCACUGCAGCCUUGAACUCCUGGGCUCAAGUGAUCCUCCCACAGUGCUGGGAUUACAGGCGUGAGCCACCGCACCCGGCCUCUAGUUCUGUCUUUUUGCUCAGUAUUAGAAUUCGUAAGUUCUGGCCCCAGCAACUCGUCCUUUCAUCUGUCUCAAGUUGCACUGUGGUGGUCACAGGAGCUGUCCUGCACCUUGCACAUGUGGCCAUGAACAAGACUCGCUCCUUGCUCUCAUGGGGCCUUCAUUCCAGUGAGACACAAAUGCAAACACAAAAUUCCAGAAGAGUGCUGAGUGCUAUCAUGAGAAACGAAGACAGGCUGGAAGAUGGGCUCUGACCCCAGAAAACCGAUGGAGAGGCCCAAGCAGCCUUGGGAGCAACAGGUGUCUCUGAGUGCCCCUUGACCACACCCCGAGGAUUGUGGCA
rnacentral:lncRNA from 10 species